GGCAGUGUGCUGCAGUGGUUUGAGCGCUGGUCUAAGACUCUGGUGAUCGGGGUUCGAGUUCCUGCUCAGCCA